GGAGUAUUGAUACCAUAGAGGCAUUAUUAACAAUCUGGCCUCCAAAGCAAACCUCAUUCACUCAGGUGCACAGAUGAGUGAACCCUUACAAGCAUCUCAUGCCAGCAGACGGCUUGACAAGGCAGAUGGGCGGAGAAAGGGCCCUUUCUUUCCCUCACAUUUGUGAGCAUAUUACAUUGCAUGACCCAGCGAAUAUACAUAUUCCUUCCCUCAAAACAAGGGAGCGAGUCAAUUACAGAGAUGAAUCAGGAGAAGAAGGGGGGAAGGAGAAAGAGAAAAGAACGGAAAAGGGAAGGACAAGCCUGCACAUUUUUCCUGACACUGAGUCACUUGUUCUUGUACAAUAGCGGAAUGAGGUCAGUCCGGUAAAAUUAGCCAUCCGCUUCAUGGCUGGACUGAAUGCCAGGCCAGUGAGAGUCUCCAUUUGAGAAAUCAGAAAAAUAAAAAGAAUUUGGAAGAUUAUCUUUGGAAGACUAGAUAUGGACGUGAUGAACUCCCACUGACCAGUACGCACUGCCUAAAAAAACUUAAAACUAAAGUGUGAAGUUUUGGCACAUCACCAAACGGAAAUAAGAGUUGUUUUUAAACAGGUGACUCUAACACUCCCCCAUCUGCCAUUUGUCAGCCAAACAUAUAGUCCCACCCCAAAGUCACACUGUUGGUUGAGACAAUAUUGCUGUGAUGGCCUAGUAGUCGGAUGGUCAAACAAACAAUGUUUUGAUAGCGCCACAGUGUUUGUACUUUCAAUCCACAAAUGGCUUUCUCUGCGUAUGCGAAAGGCGAAGAAUGUUUGUACGAGUGGCGAGACUGGGCCAAACAUAACAAUGUUGGUACCUGCAACGGUGAACCAGCAGUCCAGCUAUCUUCUGCAGUUUUGCGUCAAAGCAGCUGUGAAAAAUGAGGACAUAAAUGUGCUUACCCCCUCCACAGAGCUGGCGGAUUUGGAGACCCUUUGAAAUGUGCUGUCAUGGUGCUACAUUCAUCUCCCAAGUUCACAAUUAAAUCCAACGCUUGCAGGCUGAGGAGAACGAUUAGUGAGGAACACUCAAUGUGAGACAUCUGCGAGCAUCACGCCGACCAGCCGCAAUGCCCCCCACCCUGCGCCGAAUGGUGUAAGCGAACAUCUUUUUCUUCUUCAGGGCAGGGGGAAAGUAUGGCAAUGAGCUGUGGAGGAAGGUGGGGCUUUGAAUUCUGCAAAGGGAGCCUUUCUGCAAAGAUCACAACCAGAUGUUUCAAAAGCGUCCAAACAGGAACGAGUGCAUGUCUGCAAUUUCCAGCAAUUUGUCAGAUUUAAGGGUUCACCCCCCAUACCACCUGAUAGACAAAUAAAAUCCCCCUCUGCGCUCAUGUAAUAAUUUGAAACACGCGGGCACCCCCACUGUGGCACUGUCUCUCGUUCGGUGACAAGACAGGCCCCCAACGAAUAUCUAACUGCAGACUUGCGAUUCUGCGUAAUCUGAAACGCAUCCAAAAUGUUCAUCAGUCCCCGGUUUUGUGUCUCUUCGGAGCCAAGAUGUUGAAAUCCAUUCAGCAUUCGCACUCUUUAAAUCCAUCACGCAGCACAUUCCUAAAAAAAAGCCUUGAACCAAAACAAACAUGUGAAUAAAUAAACAUGAGCGACAGCCAGUUAAUCCCUCUGGUGGCAUGUCGUAAAUCCAGCCUCAAUUUUUUGGCCUUGAAAGGAUUUUUGCCACACACACAUACACUAUUCAAUUGCUUAUAUAA